rnacentral:rRNA from 1 species
CUACAGGUGGCAGCAGUGGGGAAUCUUAGACAAUGGGCGCAAGCCUGAUCUAGCCAUGCCGCGUGAGCGAUGAAGGCCUUAGGGUUGUAAAGCUCUUUCAGUGGGGAAGAUAAUGACUGUACCCACAGAAGAAGCCCCGGCUAACUCCGUGCCAGCAGCCGCGGUAAUACGGAGGGGGCUAGCGUUGUUCGGAAUUACUGGGCGUAAAGCGCACGUAGGCGGACGGAGAAGUCAGAGGUGAAAUCCCAGGGCUCAACCUUGGAACUGCCUUUGAAACUUUCUGUCUUGAGGUCGAGAGAGGUGAGUGGAAUUCCGAGUGUAGAGGUGAAAUUCGUAGAUAUUCGGAGGAACACCAGUGGCGAAGGCGGCUCACUGGCUCGAUACUGACGCUGAGGUGCGAAAGCGUGGGGAGCAAACAGGAUUAGAUACCCGUGUAGUC